rnacentral:hammerhead_ribozyme from 1 species
UCCUAGCUGACCAGUCCCAAAUAAAACGAAACGUGCGUCCUAGAU